UUUUUUUUUUUUUUUUUUUUUUUUUUUUUUUUUUUGAGGGCACUCACUGAAGGGGAGGGCAGAGGAAAAAAACAAAAGCAAAAAACACACCAAAAAAAAAAAAAAAAAAAAACUGGCUACUUUUCAAGUUAUUUUUUUUCACUUCUUAAGAUUUUACUGAAGAGUAGUUGAUUUGCAAUGUUAUAAUUUCUGCUGUAGAACAAAGUGAUUCAGUUAUACACAUACACAUGUAACCAUCCUUUUUCAGAUUCUUUUCCCAUACAGUUAUCACAGAAUAUUGAGUAGAGUCCCCUAUGCUAUAUAGCAGGGGCCCACUGACCAUCCAUUCCAUAUGCAUUAAUGCCACUGGAUCUUAAAAAAAAAUAUUUCUGGUCUUUUAUGAAGGUAUUGUGUCUUUCUUUGUACCAACAGCAUCAGGUGGCAUUUCCUGAUGGAUGCCAAUAAGUAUUUGUUGAAUUAUUGAGUUCCAGAAACAUUAACUAGAAAAGGCUGUCAGUACCAAUUGUGAGCUCACAAAUGGUUUAGAAUGGGGAGAAUGAGAUCGGUGGAAUUUAAUAUAAAUUGUCAAGGAUGAAAAUACAAACAUGGCACAGCUAGAUGCCCCUGAUGUCUUCCCCUCGUGCCCUCUUCAUCUCUAAGUGGAGGCAGAGGCAAAUAGGAAAAAAAUGGUGAUAAAAGGCAGGAAGACUUAAGAGUAUCUCUCCACUUAGGUCUUUGAUUUUUUUUUCCAUCAUUAUUUUGUAAAUUUUAGCACGCAGAUUCUGUACAUGUUCUGUUCAAUUUAUACCUGAGCAUUUCAUUUUUUAAAAAUAUGUAUUUUCUUAAAAUGAGUAGAGGAAAAGUAGUCCUUUAGAAAGGAAUCCUGGAGGUGUGUGGUGCAAAAUGCUUAGAGAGCCCUCUGGCUCUGACACUAAAUAGCUGUAUGAUGUUUCCUCAUUUAUAAAAAAAGCAGGGCUGGUGAGAGACUCCAGUGCAUUAAGUCUUUGAAACACUUUUUGGUCUGUAGGGUGCCAUGUUACAUAAUGGAAAAGACCAUUGGCCUUUCCCUGAGUAGAUGUUUUUCUUCAUCACUAGGUUUCAUAUAUCUUGUGCACAGCGCUGAUCAUAACACCCUCCUAACUGAGUAAGUAAUGAUUGAACGGAACAGAAAAUUUUCCUUUUGGGUCAGAGAAGGAUCUGACAUCUCUAUUCUUUCCAUAGGAACCACUUUAAUUUUCUUCUUCUACUGUAAGGUAGCUCGAGUAUAAAUCGCUUAGCUGAGCUAAUUGGUUUGCUUCUGACCCUUCUGAUUUUCUCUUCAUCUCUACUAAUCCUAGGGACCCAUUGUCCUAAAUAUUAACACAUUACGUCAAAACACGUAGUGUGGGAAUUCCCGUCGUGGCGCAGUGGUUACCGAUUCCGACUAGGAACCAUGAGGUUGCGGGUUCCAUCCCUGGCCUUGCUCAGUGGGUUAAUGAUCCGGCGUUGCCGUGAGCUGUGGUGUAGGUUGCAGACGUGGCUGGGAUCCAGCGUUGCUGUGGCUCUGGCGUAGGCUGGUGGCUACAGCUCCUAUUCGACCCCUAGCCUGGGAACCUCCAUAUGCUGCGAGAGCGGCCCAAGAAAAUGGCAAAAAGACAAAACAAACAAACAAACAAACAAAACACCUAGUGUGUGUAACAGCUUCCUAUUGCACAAAUGGGGCUAUACAUGAGCUUCACAAACAAAACCCCCAUGAUAUAAAUCUGGUGUGUAUAGUUAGUUCCUUUAAGCUCUUUAGAGUGAAAUUGGAAUGCUGAUUAAGUGGUAAACACACACAGGAACAUGUACAUGUAGGUGUAAGACCAUCACACAGCUGGUAAACAAAACCCAGGAAAGUGUGCUGUGCCUUUCCUUGCUUCUCCAGCUGCUCCUUGUGGCCAACAACUGAACUUUUACCAUAAUUGGCAAAUAAUUACCUUGGGAUGUGUAGCUGAAACAUAUCCGAUUUCAAAAGUCAGUACCAAUCUGCUUCUGAAAUAUGUUUAUGUCCUCAUGUAGUACCUGCAGCUUCUGGAAGUUUGGAGCACAUGGCCAGAAUUAGGCAAUUCAUCCAUGGUCUGAAUACAUACAGGCCAGACUGAUAAUUAUUUGAAUUAAUUUAUACAGAUAACAGUGGUAGACUCUAUACCCCCUUAUAGCUCAUGCACUUUGCAAAUUGUUAAGAUCGAUCACCUUCUCUUUUGGUGAAAAUAUAGGAACUUCCUUCUUUAGUUUGUCCUUUGUUUACAAGGACACUACACAGGAGCUAUCAUUUAUGAAGACAAUCCAAUUGAAGUGACAUCCCCUCUUUGUAAUUGUUUUCUCAACUGUAGUUUUCCCUGGACUCUUUGGCUCCUUCUUUCUCUACUUUGCUGUGGAUGCAUCAUUUUCAAGUGUGCCCAUACUCCAUCCCAACAGAAUUUUGGCUUCUGGCCAUUUCAUCCAGCUGCUCUGUAUGGAAAGAGUUAUUACUCCUUUUUCCCUUCAUUAAGUUGGCAAGAAAUUAAAUCUAUGAAUGCAGCAAUAAUGUUCCUAUAGUGUUUCUUAAAAGCAUAUGAACUAUAAUGUAAAUUGAAGCUCCAGAAUUAAACAUCCUGGAGAUAAUGUUUAGAAGGACUAUAAUAGCCUCCUUUGCUCUAUGUAACUGUGGUGAUUGCAAAGGCCCCACGUGGAAGUUCAUCAAGGCCAGCACUAUUUGGUAUAAUACUUUACAUGUCACAUUCCAAAUUGUUAACUGACCUACUUGUUAUUAUCGUUCCUCUUUGAAAAUUUAAACAGAGAUUUCAUGCAGGUUUACAUUGUAAUUGGGCUUAAAAAAAAAAAAAAAAAAAAAAAGACCAAAUGCCCUUUUUUUCUCCUGCUUUUCCUUCUUACUGGGUGCUGUGAAAGAGUUCCCAAACUCCUGUUUGUUCCUUGUGAUGCCAGCUCUGUGACCUGCCAUCUGGUGUCACAUAUUUCUUUCUAAAGAUGACUUACAGAGCUUCUAUGCUAUUAGGCCCUUGAAAAUAAUACUCAUGAACUUCUCAGAUGUCUCAAUUGCUCUGGGCCUGCUUCCCAGGUGUUUU
rnacentral:lncRNA from 1 species